rnacentral:rRNA from 1 species
UACGUAGGGUGCAAGCGUUAAUCGGAAUUACUGGGCGUAAAGCGUGCGCAGGCGGUUUUGUAAGUCUGUCGUGAAAGCCCCGGGCUCAAACUGGGAAUUGCGAUGGAGACUGCAAGGCUUGAAUCUGGCAGAGGGGGGUAGAAUUCCACGUGUAGCAGUGAAAUGCGUAGAGAUGUGGAGGAACACCGAUGGCGAAGGCAGCCCCCUGGGUCAAGAUUGACGCUCAUGCACGAAAGCGUGGGGAGCAAACAGG